CAGCCGCCGCGGGAACACGUAGGUGGCAAGCGUUGUCCGGAAUUAUUGGGCGUAAAGCGCGCGCAGGCGGAUCAGUCAGUCUGUCUUAAAAGUUCGGGGCUUAACCCCGUGAUGGGAUGGAAACUGCUGAUCUAGAGUAUCGGAGAGGAAAGUGGAAUUCCUAGUGUAGCGGUGAAAUGCGUAGAUAUUAGGAAGAACACCAGUGGCGAAGGCGACUUUCUGGACGAAAACUGACACUGAGAGACGAAAGCUAGGGGAGCAAAUGGGAUUAGAGACCCGAGUAGUCCCUGUCUCUUAUCCA
rnacentral:rRNA from 1 species